UCAAGUCCUGAAGGCCAAGUGAGCGCUCGCUCAGGUUAGGAGAAAACACAGCGGGCGACUGGUGUUCUGCUCCAGAUGACCCCGGCCGUCUCCAGGCUGCGCCUCGGAGGAAAGGUGAAGGUUUGCACUAGCAACUGCGGUGAAUCUGAAGCUGUCCCCUGCCUGGAUAGAAAGAUUUCAGCAGAUUCAGGAGUGAAAGCUUCAGACAGCAGCUUUUGGGCGAAGACGUUGUCUUUCCCAGCGGCCUUCGCAGACUCGGUUACUCUUUGGAUUCUUCACCCCAUCAUCUUAGUUCACCUGAAACACUGAGUCCAACAGAGCUGGCUUGGGUCACAGUGCAGCCACCAUGCAGUUUAUGUACGUCUUUGUUUAACAUGGUGAGAGAGAUGCAGUGCUUCGUGAAUGUUUGUUGUGUAUGCGUUGAGUUUUUAAAAGAUCUUCUCGUAAUGCCGGCAUGGCUUAAAUUUUCAGCUUGAUGUGAAUGUCUGCUGUGUCUACUGUGUCUUCCUGCCUACUGUGUCUGUGAUGGUACCAGAAUCCUGUUGGAGAAAUAAAGUUCAUUAGAAUUGACCAGAUACAAGCGAUGAUGAUCAUGACAAGGAAUUACCAUGAGGAAUUAGAGGUGUGGGUGCGGGCAGUCUCAAAGAACUCACGCAGAGGGAGUUUUUGGAGGUUCAGGAAGUUGUGGAUACAUUUUCUGAGAGAGUGGAACCUUAAAUCAUUUCCGUUACUCAACAGCCGUCUCUGAAGCCUGCUCCUCUGUCUUGUGACCCAGCCCUGGAGAGUCAAAGUCUCUAGGUUUUUUGUUACUUUCUAUGAAGGCCCAGGUAUUCUCCCCCAUCUCAGCUGGCUAAAAUCAUAACAUCUACCCAUAGCGUUUCACGACAGACCUUUCAGAGAAAGUGACAGUUUCCAAACUGAUGGAUGGCGGUCCCCUGAGGAAGACACAGAGUCAUCCUUAAGCAUCCCUAGGAUGACUUUCCAGACUUCCUCUGCAGAUCUGUGGAUGGCCAAACUCCAUGAGGUAGAGGGUGUGCAUGUAACCAACACUUACCCUCUUUGACCUGUAACUCGCCUCCAGAUUAAACGCUAUGCAAAUAGGUAUUAGUGUAUUAAAGGAUUAACAAGAAGAGAAGGUCCCUGCGUGCUCAGUGCACAUGCAGGGUUUUCCGAGCAUCUUCACCUGAUGUUGGUUAGCUCCACAGAUGCAGAGCUGGAAGUGGAAGGCUGACUAUAAACUUCAUGAUGAGAAGUAUAUAUCUCAAGAUGAGAUAAAGCAAGGAAGCCAACGGAGUGCAGCAGAGGAGGGAUCCACUAAGACUGGCCUCAGAAGCUGAAUGGAGCUGUCACUAGGAGGCCGAGAGAGGGAAAGUUCGAGAGAGACGCUUGCACUAUUCCCUAGUCCCUGUACAAAACGAAGUCAUGAAAAAUUGUCAAGGUGGUAGAAAAUAAAAAGCUAUGUCUUG